rnacentral:rRNA from 1 species
GGGGGGGCAAGCGUUUGUUCGGAAUUACUGGGCGUAAAGGGCGCGCAGGCGGCCCGGCAAGUCCUACGUGAAAUCCCACAGCUCAACUGUGGAACUGCGUGGGAUACUGCCAGGCUUGAGUCCGGGAGAGGAGAGUGGAAUUCCCAGUGUAGCGGUGAAAUGCGUAGAUAUUGGGAGGAACACCGGUGGCGAAGGCGGCUCUCUGGACCGGUACUGACGCUGAGGCGCGAAAGCUAGGGGAGCAAACGGGAUUAGAUACCCCGGUAGUCCUAGCCGUAAACUUUGAGCACUUGGUGUGGCGGGUAUCGACCCCCUGCCGUGCCGAAGCUAACGCAUUAAGUGCUCCGCCUGGGGAGUACGGUCGCAAGGCUG